rnacentral:ncRNA from 2 species
CUGUGCGUGUGACAGCGGCUGAA